rnacentral:rRNA from 1 species
ACCUGAAACCGUGUACGUACAAGCAGUGGGAGCCUCUUUUAUGGGGUGACUGCGUACCUUUUGUAUAAUGGGUCAGCGACUUAUAUUCUGUAGCAAGGUUAACCGAAUAGGGGAGCCGAAGGGAAACCGAGUCUUAACUGGGCGUUAAGUUGCAGGGUAUAGACCCGAAACCCGGUGAUCUAGCCAUGGGCAGGUUGAAGGUUGGGUAACACUAACUGGAGGACCGAACCGACUAAUGUUGAAAAAUUAGCGGAUGACUUGUGGCUGGGGGUGAAAGGCCAAUCAAACCGGGAGAUAGCUGGUUCUCCCCGAAAGCUAUUUAGGUAGCGCCUCGUGAAUUCAUCUCCGGGGGUAGAGCACUGUUUCGGCAAGGGGGUCAUCCCGACUUACCAACCCGAUGCAAACUGCGAAUACCGGAGAAUGUUAUCACGGGAGACACACGGCGGGUGCUAACGUCCGUCGUGAAGAGGGAAACAACCCAGACCGCCAGCUAAGGUCCCAAAGUCAUGGUUAAGUGGGAAACGAUGUGGGAAGGCCCAGACAGCCAGGAUGUUGGCUUAGAAGCAGCCAUCAUUUAAAGAAAGCGUAAUAGCUCACUGGUCGAGUCGGCCUGCGCGGAAGAUGUAACGGGGCUAAACCAUGCACCGAAGCUGCGGCAGCGACGCUUAUGCGUUGUUGGGUAGGGGAGCGUUCUGUAAGCCUGUGAAGGUGUGCUGUGAGGCAUGCUGGAGGUAUCAGAAGUGCGAAUGCUGACAUAAGUAACGAUAAAGCGGGUGAAAAGCCCGCUCGCCGGAAGACCAAGGGUUCCUGUCCAACGUUAAUCGGGGCAGGGUGAGUCGACCCCUAAGGCGAGGCCGAAAGGCGUAGUCGAUGGGAAACAGGUUAAUAUUCCUGUACUUGGUGUUACUGCGAAGGGGGGACGGAGAAGGCUAUGUUGGCCGGGCGACGGUUGUCCCGGUUUAAGCGUGUAGGCUGGUUUUCCAGGCAAAUCCGGAAAAUCAAGGCUGAGGCGUGAUGACGAGGCACUACGGUGCUGAAGCAACAAAUGCCCUGCUUCCAGGAAAAGCCUCUAAGCAUCAGGUAACAUCAAAUCGUACCCCAAACCGACACAGGUGGUCAGGUAGAGAAUACCAAGGCGCUUGAGAGAACUCGGGUGAAGGAACUAGGCAAAAUGGUGCCGUAACUUCGGGAGAAGGCACGCUGAUAUGUAGGUGAAGUCCCUUGCGGAUGGAGCUGAAAUCAGUCGAAGAUACCAGCUGGCUGCAACUGUUUAUUAAAAACACAGCACUGUGCAAACACGAAAGUGGACGUAUACGGUGUGACGCCUGCCCGGUGCCGGAAGGUUAAUUGAUGGGGUCAGCGCAAGCGAAGCUCUUGAUCGAAGCCCCGGUAAACGGCGGCCGUAACUAUAACGGUCCUAAGGUAGCGAAAUUCCUUGUCGGGUAAGUUCCGACCUGCACGAAUGGCGUAAUGAUGGCCAGGCUGUCUCCACCCGAGACUCAGUGAAAUUGAACUCGCUGUGAAGAUGCAGUGUACCCGCGGCAAGACGGAAAGACCCCGUGAACCUUUACUAUAGCUUGACACUGAACAUUGAGCCUUGAUGUGUAGGAUAGGUGGGAGGCUUUGAAGUGUGGACGCCAGUCUGCAUGGAGCCGACCUUGAAAUACCACCCUU